UCCACGCGCCCCAGCUGCUUGACGCCUCCCUCCCCGUCCUCCUGCAUCUCCCUUCACUCCCUCGCCGGCCGCUGCCGUCGCCACUCCACCUCCCUCCUCCCGGAUCAGACGCAGGUCAUCGCCCUGGGGGAGCAGGGCGGCGCGGUCUUUAUGACAGGGUUGCAGGGGCCGGGACUGUGAGGAGGCUAACGGCGGGUGCAUGUAUUGCAGGAUGGAGGAGAGGCCGGUGUGGGGCGCAAGGAGCAGCAGGGACAGAACGGUGCUCGCUCGCCGAAUGUUAGCCCUCGGAUUAAUUCGACGCUUUAAUCGAGCUGACGAGCCCCAUGCUACAAGGGGUGAGACACGGAUAACAAUACGAGAAGGAGCAUGCCAUCGAGGAGUGCAAGCAGCGGGACUCCUCCGCAAUGGGGUAUGGCUGCAGGGGAGGGGACGCGGCCAACGACACGAAGAAGGAGCAGGUCGUCGAGGACUACAAGCAGCAGGAUUAUUUUUGGCCCAUACAGUUUCCUUUGACUAGAAGUCUGAAACUGAAGAUAGGGUAUUGUUUUGGUUCUGAGUGGCCGGAGAUAUUGUGGCUUGAUGUCCCUAGAGCAGUCGGACCCUUCCAAGAUAGAAGAUCUUUGGGAUUGACGUUCUGAUGAGAAAGUAGCAUACGGAUGGAUGGACAUGAACUAUUCAGUGGUCGAGCUACGCUAUAUUUCUUUCAUUGAGGCGAGGGUGAUUCCAGUAGAUUUUGCUUGGCGUACUCGCCUUUUUUCUUGAAGUUGGGUGUCCGUCUUCUCUACGGCAAGUGUCCCUUGAUGGUUCUCCACUUCAGACACUAAAGAUACUGAUGAUGAUUUGUUUAGGAUCUGGGGAGUCGGAUUGUGGAUUACAUGUAGUGGGGAAGUAGAGAGGGGGACGAGGAAGAGGACACCGUCGGUGGCGUGCUAUAUCUCACUAGGCGGCAAUGUGGAGAGGGUGCCUCGCAUCAAGAACCCGACAUGCUUUUCCGAGUGUUCGUUGAGAUCUAUGCUGUCGCGGCAACACAGGCCAAUACACAUUCAGGAAAUAUGUCACCAACUUCCCCAAGGUCCCGCAUCGUCUACUCAGGUUAAUUCUCGGUCUACAACCUCCAAAACUUGCAGUUCUAUUUUUCAA